rnacentral:rRNA from 1 species
UCGCUCCUACCGAUUUCGAGUGAUCCGGUGAACCUUUUGGACUGCUUCGGCUUCCGGAGCGGGAAAUCAAGUAAACCUUAUCACUUAGAGGAAGGAG